UACAGAGGGGGCGAGCGUUGUUCGGAAUUACUGGGCGUAAAGGGCGCGUAGGCGGCCCGCUAAGUCGAACGUGAAAUCCCCAGGCUCAACCUGGGAACUGCGUCCGAUACUGGCAGGCUUGAAUCCGGGAGAGGGAUGUGGAAUUCCAGGUGUAGCGGUGAAAUGCGUAGAUAUCUGGAGGAACACCGGUGGCGAAGGCGGCACCCUGGACCGGUAUUGACGCUGAGGCGCGAAAGCUAGGGGAGCAAACGGG
rnacentral:rRNA from 1 species